rnacentral:rRNA from 1 species
GACAGAGGUGCCAAGCGUUAGGCGGAAUCACUGGGCUUAAAGCGUGUGUAGGCGGAUUCCUAAGUACCUUGUGAAAUCCCACGGCUCAACCGUGGAACUGCUCGGUAUACUGGGUAUCUUGAGCCACUUAGGGGCGACCGGAACAAAUGGUGGAGCGGUGAAAUGCGCAGAUAUCAAUUUGGAACGCCAAUGGUGAAAACAGGUCGCUGGGAGUGUGCUGACGCUGAGACACGAAAGCCAGGGGAGCAAACGGG